UAGCGGAGGAAAAGAAACCAACUGGGAUUACCUUAGUAACGGCGAGUGAAGCGGUAAAAGCUCAAAUUUGAAAUCUGGUACUUUCAGUGCCCGAGUUGUAAUUUGUAGAAUUUGUCUUUGAUUAGGUCCUUGUCUAUGUUCCUUGGAACAGGACGUCAUAGAGGGUGAGAAUCCCGUUUGGCGAGGAUACCUUUUCUCUGUAAGACUUUUUCGAAGAGUCGAGUUGUUUGGGAAUGCAGCUCAAAGUGGGUGGUAAAUUCCAUCUAAAGCUAAAUAUUGGCGAGAGACCGAUAGCGAACAAGUACAGUGAUGGAAAGAUGAAAAGAACUUUGAAAAGAGAGUGAAAAAGUACGUGAAAUUGUUGAAAGGGAAGGGCAUUUGAUCAGACAUGGUGUUUUUUGCAUGCACUCGCCUCUCGUGGGCUUGGGCCUCUCAAAAAUUUCACUGGGCCAACAUCAAUUCUGGCAGCAGGAUAAAUCAUUAAGAAUGUAGCUACUUCGGUAGUGUUAUAGCUUUUUGGAAUACUGUUAGCCGGGAUUGAGGACUGCGC
rnacentral:rRNA from 1 species